GCAGAGAGGAGGAGAGGAGAGGAGGCAAGGAGAGGAGUAGAGAAGAGCAGAGAGGAGCAGAGAGGAGGAGAGGAGAGGAGCAGAGAGGGGGUGGGGAGAGGAGCAGAGAGGAGGUGAGGAGAGGAGCAGAGAGGAGGUGAGGAGAGGAGCAGAGAGGAAGUUAGGAGAGGAGCAGAGAGGAAGUGAGGAGAGGAGCAGAGAGGAGGUGAGGAGAGGAGCAGAGAGGAAGUGAGGAGAGGAGCAGAGAGGAAGUGAGGAGAGGAGCAGAGAGGAGGCGAGGAGAGGAGCAGAGAGGAGGUGAGGAGAGGAGCAGAGAGGAAGUGAGGAGAGGAGCAGAGAGGAGGAGAGGAGAGGAGGUGAGGAGAGGAGCAGAGAGGAGCAGAGAGGAGGUGAGGAGAGGAGCAGAGAGGAAGUGAGGAGAGGAGCAGAGAGGAGGCGAGGAGAGGAGCAGAGAGGGGGUGGGGAGAGGAGCAGAGAGGAGGUGAGGAGAGGAGCAGAGAGGAGGUGAGGAGAGGAGCAGAGAGGAAGUUAGGAGAGGAGCAGAGAGGAAGUGAG
ensembl:lncRNA